GCCUACGGGGCACAGCAGUAGGGAAUCUUCCACAAUGGGCGAAAGCCUGAUGGAGCAACGCCGCGUGGGUGAAGAAGUAUUUCGGUAUGUAAAGCUCUAUCAGCAGGGAAGAAAAAAGACGGUACCUGACUAAGAAGCCCCGGCUAACUACGUGCCAGCAGCCGCGGUAAUACGUAGGGGGCAAGCGUUAUCCGGAUUUACUGGGUGUAAAGGGAGCGUAGACGGCAAUACAAGUCGGAAGUGAAAUACCCGGGCUCAACCUGGGAACUGCUUUGGAAACUGUAUGGCUGGAGUGCUGGAGAGGG
rnacentral:rRNA from 1 species